rnacentral:rRNA from 1 species
GACGAACCGAGCGAACGUUAUUCGGAAUCACUGGGCUUAAAGGGCGCGUAGGCGGGCCAUCAAGUCAGGGGUGAGAGCCCCCAGCUCAACUGGGGAAGUGCCUCUGAUACUGGUGGCCUCGAGGGAGGUAGGGGCGUGCGGAACUUCCGGUGGAGCGGUGAAAUGCGUAGAUAUCGGAAGGAACACCGGUGGCGAAAGCGGCGCGCUGGACCUCUUCUGACGCUGAGGCGCGAAAGCCAGGGGAGCGAACGGG